rnacentral:rRNA from 1 species
AGAACGAACGCUGGCGGCAGGCCUCAAACAUGCAAGUCUAGGGGGUGUAGCAAUACAUCACCGGCGGACGGGUGCGUAACACGUGGGAAUAUACCUUUUGGUUCGGAACAACGCAGGGAAACUUGCGCUAAUACCGAAUGUGCCCUUACGGGGAAAGAUUUAUCGCCAAAGGAUUAGCCCGCGUAGGAUUAGCUAGUUGGUGAGGUAAUGGCUCACCAAGGCUCCAAUCCUUAGCUGUUCUGAGAGGAAGAUCAGCCACACUGGGACUGAGACACGGCCCAGACUCCUACGGGAGGCAGCAGUUGGGAAUCUUGGACAAUGGGGGAAACCCUGAUCCAGCCAUGCCGCGUGAGUGAUGAAGGCCUUCGGGUUGUAAAACUCUUUCGACGGGGACGAUAAUGACGGUACCCGUAGAAGAAGCUCCGGCUAACUUCGUGCCAGCAGCCGC